UACGUAGGGUCCGAGCGUUGUCCGGAAUUACUGGGCGUAAAGAGCUCGUAGGCGGCUUGUCGCGUCGAAUGUGAAAACCCACGGCUCAAUUGUGGGCUUGCAUUCGAUACGGGCAGGCUAGAGUUCGGUAGGGGAGACUGGAAUUCCUGGUGUAGCGGUGAAAUGCGCAGAUAUCAGGAGGAACACCGGUGGCGAAGGCGGGGUCUCUGGGCCCGAUACUGACGCUGAGGAGCGAAAGCGUGGGGAGCGAACAGG
rnacentral:rRNA from 1 species